CCUAAUAUUUAUGAAUGUUAAUGGCUCUUUCUUGUUUCGGUAGUUGGUGGUGCAUGACCGUUCUUAGUUGGUGGAACGAUUUGUCUGGUUAAUUCCGAUAAUGAACGAGACUUUGGCCUGCUAAAUAGUCCUAUGCUGUCCUCUGUGCUCGUGCAGGUUACGUUGUCCAUUGCCUCCUCGUGGGGUAGUGGUUGCGUUGACCGGCGGGUGCGGCGCAGGUACUUACUUCUUAGAGGGACAAGCGACUCCAGUCGCACGAAAUUGAGCGAUAACAGGUCUGUGAUGCCCUUAGAUG
rnacentral:ncRNA from 1 species